CAGCCGUAGGGCUACUGUUUAUUUCAGAUCCGAGAGAGGUGAAGAAGUGUCCUGCUGGCACCGUGCAGUCGUCCUUGCCGUACAUAACGCAGGUGCAGGACGGGCUUUUAGUGUGUAACUGUCACCAUCUGCGCACGUGAGAGGCACAGGGACGUGGAUUGCUGACUGCGGACACUCUCUGUUCCUUUACUUGACGAUGACUCUGCAGGCUGGUGCGCUCUGCUACUGCACUCUUUUUGUUUUACUUUAGCAAAUAAACCAAAGAUCGGAUGCACUAAAUUCCUUCUUUCGUGCGUAAUAGCCGCGCGGUAAGGCUACGGUGACGCGUUUUGCCUUUCAUCAUUGAGAGCGGGGCAAGUUUUCAAAGGCACCGAUGAGCUACUGUCGGAGUGAGACUUUGGCAUCUGAGGGUACCUGUUGGAAUUAAAAAAAUAUAUAUACAAACGUUACUUUAAAGGGAAACUGGAUCGGUCCGUGUUCAGUGGAUUUUUUGCGCCUUGGUGACCCUCUUGUGGUGUGGUAUGACGGUGGAAACGAUGUUUUCAUGCAAUACGAGUGCCAUAAAGGACUGGAGCUACUUUCUGUCUCAGAUAUUGCCUUUGAUGAAUAAAACUACAGCCUCCGCUUUGUCGAUGGUCAACAUCGACAAGGCGGAGGCUGUGACGACCACUGUGGUGACAUCCUUGCAGCCGGACGGCGCCAUGAGCGCGAGUAAUCCCCCUAUCGACUCCAACCAUACCUCGGGCAUGGAGCACGUCUUUCAGUACUCGUACUCGGAGAGUGACCUGCUGUACACGGACUAUCGGACACCGGAGAGAGAUCCCAUGCCUCUUCCCAAAGCGGUGCUCUAUCUGGUCAUGGCAGCGCUGGUAGUAGUGGCAGUGGCGUAUGCGAUAGUUGGACACCUGGUCAAAGAUGUGGUGAAUGACUUCGUCGGUGGAGGCAGGUCGAUUGUUGGGGAAGGUGACGGUACAGACACCAGUGAACCAGACUGGGUGUUUGGCUCUCGCCGUGCUGCCAACCGCAACAAGACCGAGGUUAACUCAAUCACCAACACCAUGAAUGAGAUGAGUGAGAGGCCCCCGCUGGUGGAAAUGAGCUACAUAUCCCUGAACCACACCAACCAUCUGAGCUCCAACAGACAGGAGGAGGUAGUGGUCACCAUAGAUGAGACACUACAGCAGCAACCUCCAAACACUCCCUCUGGGACUUAACUGCAACCUUCUGAUCUUCACUGAGAGAAAUCAAGCAGCAUCUUUGCUUGCUUUUUGUGUUAAAGUGGAUUUACAAGUCUGACACAAAUGGAAGCUUUAUCCACUGUUUCUUCACCUGCAGGUGGCUGUGUAAUGUUGGGCCAGAAGGUACUUGGAGGCAUGAGAUGCUGAUGUUUGUAUGUGACUUGAUUCUUUUUGGCUGAAAUGACAGAUGAGGGCAGCUACAGCUUGUUUGGACAAGCAGCCGGAGAGACAACUGUUAUUUUUUCAUGCUUAGUCCUCAUCGUGCCAACCCUUUUAUUUCUCUAAGUUACCCCUCAUCCAUUUAAAAUGAAAACACCAAUGCAAACAAUAUUUAAUCGCUCUAGAUAUACAACACAUGGUGGUCAGUGCUUAUUGUAACAUUUCUGAUAGCAAAGUGAAAAACUUCACCCUCAUGAGAACAGUUAGAUUAACACUUUUGUCAUUUUCGCUGAGGCUGCGAGAUUAGGUUUUGCAUAAUCUAUAUAAAUUUGUAUCUCUUUCUAUAUGAUGAUACUGUAAUUACCAAAGGCAAGUCUAUCCCUAAAGAUUAAAUAAAAUCAUUUGGUAGUUUCAUGGUAUUAGCUUGAUGUAAGAGGAAACAAGUGCUAAGUCACCUUCAAGAGCUCUGAUUAUACCUGCUGUCAACUCUCAAAAAAUGUGCAUUGCUUUUAAUGUCAUUAUUGGUUACAUGUCACAUGGAAUGGCUUUUGUCAAAGCCUUUGUUUACCUUUAUUACCUCACUGUUAAGGGCUACAUACUGCUGCUGAUGACACUGCUCACAGACACAAAUAAUGGGGCUUAUUUCUCCUUUGCAUGUGGUCCUUAUCCUCUGCACACAUGGAUCUACUAUAAACAGUAUCUUUGAAGGGUCUGUUCUACCUGAAAGUACUGAUGUUAGAACUCCAAUUUUCUCUCUCAUUUAUAAUAGGUUUGAAUAAAAGGUUCGAGGAACAGGCGUCUGGUUCACAUCAACAAGAUCUUAGUUUGUCCCUUCCCCAAUCUGCAAGACUUUUUUUUUAAGAGUCUUGUUCCUCAAAUAUGUUAAUCACACUGAUCUGUGAGUGUAAAAGUGGAAAACAGUCUGCAAAAAAAAAGGCAAUAAAGCAAACAAACAAAUAAAAACCCAUGCUCUUUCAUUUUUUACCAUGCUGUUAAUCGCUGUAUUCCUUUCG
ensembl:lncRNA